rnacentral:rRNA from 1 species
AUACGUAGGUGGCAAGCGUUGUCCGGAUUUACUGGGUGUAAAGGGCGCGUAGGCGGGAUAGCAAGUCAGAUGUGAAAUGCCAGGGCUUAACUCUGGAGCUGCAUUUGAAACUGUUAUUCUUGAGUAUCGGAGAGGCAGGCGGAAUUCCUAGUGUAGCGGUGAAAUGCGUAGAUAUUAGGAGGAACACCAGUGGCGAAGGCGGCUUACUGGACGGUAACUGACGUUGAGGCUCGAAAGCGUGGGGAGC